rnacentral:rRNA from 1 species
UACGUAGGGCGCAAGCGUUUAUCCGGAAUUAUUGGGCGUAAAGAGCUCGUAGGCGGCUUGUCGCGUCGGCUGUGAAAACCUGGGGGCUACCAACCCCGGGGCCCUGCAGGCCGAUACGGGCAGCUAGAAUUCGGUAGGGGAGACUGGAAUUCCUGGUGUAGCGGUGAAAUGCGCAGAUAUCAGGAGGAACACCGGUGGCGAAGGCGGGUCUCUGGGCCGAAAUUGACGCUGAGGAGCGAAAGCGUGGGGAGCGAACAGG